AAUUUCAUGAAGAAAAUCAAAAUAAAACUGGGUAAAGAGAGAUUGAGGAAAGCUGCGUGAACUCGAAAACACAGCAAUUGGAAGUUCAAAGCGGCCGUAGCUACUGAUCUUGUGUUUUUUUUCAUUCUACCUGCAGCAAAAUGGGAGUUUAGAAGAUCAACGGUGUUUUUAAAGGGAAUUUUUAAAAACUCUUGGUUUUUUUGCAGAUCAUCGGGUAUCAGCCUGGCUACGGCACUCCAGUUAAUGUGAGUUGCAAAAUCCAGAAAGGCGAACCAAGUCACCUCCAGUCACUGGACUUUUUCCCAAGCGAGACAUUUGAUCCCAUGUAUUUCCCUUAUUAUGGCAAACUUACGCACGUGAACUACACACAACCUUUGGUAGCCAUUCAUUUCACAGGAAUUACGAGAAACCAGACCUUGAACCUUCAAUGCCAGCUGAAUGGCAAAGGGAUUAUCAACACCGUUAACAACGAUCGUUUUUUGGGGCGAAUCAUUUUCACACUAACCGUCAACAGCUAAGGCCAGAUCUCCCUGUCUGUGACGACCCUAUUAUGGCAAUCCAACGUUCCUCGUUGCGGGAAGGGGGGGAAAACAAUAAUCCAAUUGGCCAUCGACGUAGCAGCAGGAAACUCCAGGCCUAUUUCGAGGGAUGGUGUUUGGUAUUCUUUGGAAAAACAAAUAAACAAAAAUAAAAAUAAAAAAAGAUAGCUCCCAAGAUAAGUCUACGGAACUCAACAUCAAGCAAUCAAAACAUUCACCCUGCAAAUAAACCCACCAGCCCAACAAGAAUUUGGUUUAAAAAAUGCAUUUUAAAUUAAAAAACAACAACAACAGCGUUUUAGAUCUUUUUCCCAGGGUGCAUCGGAAGGGAUGGUAUUUGGCAUCAAAGGGAGAGUCUUGCCAUAACAACACAAAUAAUUGGUUUUUGUCCCCUCCUUUCCAUUAUUUUUUUUAUCUCCCUUUGGGGAAAAAGAUCCCUUCACUGUCAGUACUGUAUUUCGUGGGCCGGUAUGGGAUAGGUAUGGAAGGAGUAAGUUUGCAACGUUUGAAAUGGAUAUUCAUAAAUCCAUUACUGAAAAGGGUCACUCAAAACCUGUGUGAUUUAACCACCGUAGAAGUCACGGCAAGCCACAAAUGUUUAGUUGGCCUUAAGCAUAAUCUUUGGCCCCAUCCCACCCCCUAGUUAUUUCUGUCUUAUUGCUUUUCCGGCUCAAUAUAGCGACAGUGAUGUCCUCCUAGGCAGCGUAGGCCUUUUCAAUCAAGAUAGGUAUUUCCCUUAAAUAGAGGGAAUGUGGGUUCUUUUUUUUCCCCCUGUUCACCAGCCUUGAAUGCCUAAAUCAGGUUUGCAAAGUGAAGACGAGAGAGGGAUAUCUAGGGAGGGGCCUCGUUCUUCCUCCGUCUUGACCAUCUCAAGAUGUUUGCUUGGAAGCCUUCACCCUCCACGCCGUUUUAUUCCCACGGGGAACAGGACCUCCGCGGAAGGCCCACCACCACACCAUUGCGACAUCAGAAACCGGGACUUCCGUUGGUCACGAAGCUUCAUGUUCUUGGGACAGGGCGGUUAAGACAUCUGGGUGAACCAGGAGAAACAGCAUGGCACGGACUGAUUUCUCGUUU